GAUGAACGCUGGCGGCGUGCCUAAUACAUGCAAGUCGAGCGAACAGAUGAGGAGCUUGCUCCUCUGACGUUAGCGGCGGACGGGUGAGUAACACGUGGAUAACCUACCUAUAAGACUGGGAUAACUUCGGGAAACCGGAGCUAAUACCGGAUAAUAUAUUGAACCGCAUGGUUCAAUAGUGAAAGACGGUUUUGCUGUCACUUAUAGAUGGAUCCGCGCCGCAUUAGCUAGUUGGUAAGGUAACGGCUUACCAAGGCAACGAUGCGUAGCCGACCUGAGAGGGUGAUCGGCCACACUGGAACUGAGACACGGUCCAGACUCCUACGGGAGGCAGCAGUAGGGAAUCUUCCGCAAUGGGCGAAAGCCUGACGGAGCAACGCCGCGUGAGUGAUGAGGGUCUUCGGAUCGUAAAACUCUGUUAUUAGGGAAGAACAAAUGUGCAAGUAACUAUGCACGUCUUGACGGUACCUAAUCAGAAAGCCACGGCUAACUACGUG
rnacentral:rRNA from 1 species